rnacentral:rRNA from 1 species
GACGAACGCUGGCGGCGUGCUUAACACAUGCAAGUCGAACGGAAAGGCCCUGCUUUUGUGGGGUGCUCGAGUGGCGAACGGGUGAGUAACACGUGAGUAACCUGCCCUUGACUUUGGGAUAACUUCAGGAAACUGGGGCUAAUACCGGAUAGGAGCUCCUGCUGCAUGGUGGGGGUUGGAAAGUUUCGGCGGUUGGGGAUGGACUCGCGGCUUAUCAGCUUGUUGGUGGGGUAGUGGCGUACCAAGGCUUUGACGGGUAGCCGGCCUGAGAGGGUGGCCGGCGACACUGGGACUGAGAGACGGUCGAGGCUGCGACGAGAGGCACCAGGAGGGAAUCGUACGCAAGGGGGGACAGCCGGGCGGGGCAGCGCCGCGUGAGUGACGACGGUUUCCCGAGCGUAAAGGUGUGUUAGUAGGUAAGGACAAAUGUGGCAGGAACUAUGCACGUCUCGACGGUACCUAAUCAGAAAGCAACGGCUAACUACCUG